CCCCCUUUAGAAGCACUCGUGGGCCUUUUGCUAGUGACCCACUGAGCCGUCAAGAAGGGACAGUAAAAAUAUCACUGGGGUGAAGUGGCAACAUAUGUUAUUUGCUUCAAUCAUCACUGUGACAAGA
ensembl:snoRNA Gm25821 predicted gene, 25821